CUUGGUGUCUGUUUCCUAUUUUUCUGGGCCUCAUCAUUGAAGCACGGCUGCUCUGCCUCAGCCAUAAAUUAAAGGAGCAGAAAUCAGGUUAGCCAGUGAAACCUGGGCCCCUGGAGCAGCUGGAAGGAGCCUGAACUGUAGAAAGGACUCCUGGAGGGGCAUGCCAGGCCAGAAACAGUCACUGUUCCGGAAUAAAGACUGGUGCAGAGUCUAACUACACAGAAUGAUGUCCUGUGUUCUCGAGGCUUCGGAGAGCAAGAUUUCAGAGAUCCUGGGAGGAAAACAUACCAACUCAACAAGAAGGAGGUCAGAGAAGUUUGAUGUUGGAAACACUGAGGCUAACAGACAUCAGGAGAAGAAUGAGGGAAACUGGCGUGAGCUGGAGAGAAGUCCCCAUCUGGGAUUUGAACGGUCUGAAUGAGGGAUGGCUUGACUCCAGGCUGCGGGCUGCAGGCAGGCAAGGGACUCUGCUGACUGGAGACAGAGACAUCAGUUAUUUAUCGUGUGGUCUGGCUCAGAACAACACGGUAGUGAGAGUGUGUUGUGUACGUGCGUGUGCGUGUGGGGGUGUGUGCUUGCAUGUUUGUGAAUGUGAGAUUCCCUGUUGCCUUUGGAUUCUUUAAACUUCACUAGGAAAUUUGUUACUAUUCGGAAUGUUAUGCAUGAUUUGUUUUCUUUCCUGGUGCUGGGGACUAAACACCGGCCCUUUGGCUGGCUUGGAAAGUGCUCUCCGAUGGAGGGAAAGCCCCAGCUCUGCACUUUUUAAAAAACAUAUUAUUGCCCUAAUUUCUCCAUUCCAAUUAUAAUAUAAGACACAAUGGGAUAGGGAAUUGUGUUUAUUUUGUUCCUUGUUAUAUCUGCAAUCAUUAGCCAACCUGAGCUAUACGAGACCUUAACAAACAAACAAAUAAAUAAAUAAAUACAAGUUUAAAAAUAAA